ensembl:lncRNA
AUGGCAUUGGAUAACUGUAGUAUAUUGCCUGAAUCAGAGAUCUUAAACAAUGAAAGUAGAGAAGAGGGACAUCAUGGCAUUCCCAAUCAAAAUGGCAUGGCUUCUUCAGACAGUGAUUCGGGCAACAGCAUCUUCCUAACGCAAGCAGUGACCUCAACUCCACCGCUUAGGAGAGUGAGGAGGAAUCGGGCGAGGUCACAGACCCACCCCUUGUAUUUAUGUGAGGAGAGUUCUGACAGCGAAAGCGAAGAAACCAGCGCAUUCUUUGAACUUCACAGUAAGACAGACAGCUGGUGUCCUAGGAGUUGCAGAGAUAAGCCCCAUUCCAGAGAAGCAAGUGUACGAAAGAGGAGGAUACACUUUCCAUUCCUUCAAAAGUAUCAUCCAAAAGCUCGCCUGACAUCUCUCCAGCGACAAACUUUGGUGAACUCUUCAAUAGGUGGAUUCUUCCAGUGCAUGACAAGUUUGUCUUUAACAGAGAAAAGCAAGAAACCAGAAUACCAGGAUCCACUUUCAGAUUUGUCUGGUUUGGAAGAAGAGACUGAAGAACACAAAGACAACCAAGAGGACAUGCGUAUAGUGGAUGGAGCUUUGUUUGUUCAGAAUUUUCACAAGAGAAUCAGACAAGAGUGGGGUUCUAAUACCAGGAAAAGUCCGUCAGAAGUCAGGAAAACAAGUCCAAGAAACAAGUCCAAGAAACUGGACAAGUCCAAGAAACUUCCCAAGUCCAAGAAACUUUCCAAUGCCAAGAAACUUUCCAAUGCCAAAGAUGUCUCAAAAGGCUUAAAAAUUGGGCAAUCCAGAAGGCCAAAACAAUCAAGUCACUCAGAGGUCAAGAAAACAAGGAAAGUUCAGAAUACCAAGGAUGCCUCAAAAACCCCAGAGAUUAAACAAACCCAAUUAAGAAAGUCAACACGGCUUGCUGCGAAAGAGAAUAGUACCCAAAACUUGGCUGGUCAUGGCAGCUCUCCAUGCAGUGAAAAUGGAAAAGAGAAGAGAGUCAAUGAUAAGUCCUGCCGCACGCAGGUACUGGAGACAUCCCAAGCUGGUCCGAACUACAAAGCUCCAUCUCAUGUCACAUCUCAGGCCUCGGAUGUUUCUGACACAGAAGAUGAACUUCAUGUAGUCAUCGCUGAGCAAACAGAAAAUGCCCAAACAGACAUUGAGGUAAGCAACCUGCAAACACAGUCACUGUCAUUAGAGAGUACUUCUGAGCCCCAACCAAAAAUCCAGAUUCAGCCGGCCAUGGAGAGUGCUGUGGCAUCCUCUCAAGACUGUGAGUUGCAAACUGUAGAUGGUGAUUCUAUUUCAUUGCUUGGUACAGCAAAGAACAAGAAGAAGAAAAAGAAAAAGAACAAGGAUAAGAAGGACUGCUUGGAAUCUCCAGCAGUGGAUGUGUGCAGUGUACCCAGAGAAAGUAUUAAUAUCUCACAGGACACCAUGCUUAGCCCUGCACCUGCACCGGAAACUGAAAUGGAAAUAGAAAUGUUAUCCCAGAGAAAGAAGAAAAAGAAGAAACACAAAAGCAAAGAGAAUCCAUGUGAUCUAGAAAAUUCUGUUCAACAGGAAAGUCAAGAACAGAUUAAUUCAGACGCGCCUGAGGGUCAGCGUGACCAACACAGAGAGAGGAAAAAGAGGAAAAAGAAAACAUACGAUGCACUGGAAUGUGAGCAAACAUGGAAUGGAAAAGAGAAGAGAGUCGAUGAUAAGUCCUGCUGCACGCAGGUACUGGAGACAUCCCAAGCUGGUCCGAACUACAAAGCUCCAUCUCAUGUCACAUCUCAGGCCUCGGAUGUUUCUGACACAGAAGAUGAACUUCAUGUAGUCAUCGCUGAGCAAACAGAAAAUGCCCAAACAGAUAUUGAGGUAAGCAACCUGCAAACACAGUCACUGUCAUUAGAGAGUACUUCUGAGCCCCAACCAAAAACCCAGAUUCAGCCGGCGAUGGAGAGUUCUGUGGCAUCCUCUCAAGACUGUGAGUUGCAAACUGUAGAUGGUGAUUCUAUUUCAUUGCUUGGUACAGCAAAGAAGAAGAAGAAGAAGAAGAAGAAAAAGAACAAGGAUAAGAAGGACUGCUUGGAAUCUCCAGCAGUGGAUGUGUGCAGUGUGCCCAGAGAAUGUAUUAGUAUCUCACAGGACACCAUGCUUAGCCCUGCACCUGCACCGGAAACUGAAAUGGAAAUGUUAUCCCAAAGAAAGAAGAGAAAGAAGAAACACAAAAGCAAAGAGAACCCAUGUGAUCUAGAAGAUCCUGUUCAACAGGAAAGUCAAGAACAGAUUAAUUCAGACGCGCCUGAGGGUCAGCGUGACCAACACAGAGAGAGGAAAAAGAGGAAAAAGAAAACAUACGAUGCACUGGAAUGUGAGCAAACAACUUCAGAUCCCCAAGCCUUAUCUCCUGUUGAGAAGGCGAGGGAUAAACAGCUGUUAUCAUCUCAAGUGUGCGAGGUGCCAUCUUGUGAUGACAAUUCUGUGAUGUUGAACAGCUCGAAAAAGAAAAAGAAAAAGAAAAAGACAAAAGAAAGGAAGGAGGACGUGGAGCAAACAACUUCAGAUCCCCAAGCCUUAUCUCCUUUUGAGAAGGCGAGGGAUAAACAGCUGUUAUCAUCUCAAGUUUGCGAGGUGCCAUCUUGUGAUAACAAUUUUGUGAUGUUGAACAGCUCGAAAAAGAAAAAGACAAAAGAAAGGAAGGAGGACGUGGAGCAAACAACUUCAGAUCCCCAAGCCUUAUCUCCUUUUGAGAAGGCGAGGGAUAAACAGCUGGUGUCAUCUCAAGUUUGCGAGGUGCCAUCUUGUGAUGACAAUUCUGUGAUGUUGAACAGCUCGAAAAAGAAAAAGACAAAAGAAAGGAAGGAGGACGUGGAGUCUCGACCAGUGGAAGAAUUGGAUUCCCUCAAAGACGCAAACAGUUUCUCUCAGGAGUACCUAGUAACCAGUGCACAGGAAGCUGUUCAUAGAAAGAAGAUGAAAAAGAUAAGUGAUGGUCCAGAUGAUGGAGGAAAAAGAAAGAGGGAAAAUGACACAUCAGAAGGCAACAUUUGCUAUUCUACAGAUCCUGAAGCUCAAAUGUUGUACCCAAAAAAGAAGAAGAAGAAAAGACAUAAAAGUGGAAACCCAGGUAGCUUAGAAGCAAUAAGAUCUGAAGAGAACUGUUCUCACGGUCUGCGGGAACUAGAUACAAGUAAAACAACAUGCCAAAGUGCCUGCUCCUUUGAAAAGGAUCCAGCUUCAGUUCACUCUGACACACCUGAAGGCCAAAAUGUUCAACUAAGAGACGGUCCCAACAAUAAAGAAAAAAGAAAGAUGUAUCGUUGGACUCUGGUGCCAUGGAGUUGA